UACGUAGGGUGCAAGCGUUGUCCGGAAUUAUUGGGCGUAAAGAGCUCGUAGGCGGCUUGUCGCGUCUGCUGUGAAAUCCCGAGGCUCAACCUCGGGCGUGCAGUGGGUACGGGCAGGCUAGAGUGCGGUAGGGGAGAUUGGAAUUCCUGGUGUAGCGGUGGAAUGCGCAGAUAUCAGGAGGAACACCGAUGGCGAAGGCAGAUCUCUGGGCCGCUACUGACGCUGAGGAGCGAAAGCAUGGGGAGCGAACA
rnacentral:rRNA from 1 species